rnacentral:rRNA from 1 species
AGAACGAACGCUGGCGGCAGGCUUAACACAUGCAAGUCGAACGCCCCGCAAGGGGAGUGGCAGACGGGUGAGUAACGCGUGGGAAUCUACCCAGAUCUUCGGAACAACUGAGGGAAACUUCAGCUAAUACCGGAUACGCCCUACGGGGAAAGAUUUAUCGGUUCUGGAUGAGCCCGCGUUGGAUUAGCUAGUUGGUGAGGUAAAGCUCACCAAGGCGACGAUCCAUAGCUGGUCUGAGAGGAUGAUCAGCCACACUGGGACUGAGACACGG